rnacentral:lncRNA from 1 species
GCACCAUCUGGUCCCCUGGGAGGUCAGUGCAGGGUUGCUCCAUUUUGACAUGAGUAAAUUCUAGAUUAGGUAUUUGGCAGCUAACUCAUCUGGAUAUAAGGAAACAGAAGUGCCAGACACGUAGAUAAUAUUUGAAGAACAGGAGCAUUCUUGGAACAUGCUGAAUAGAGGACAAGGAGAUGAGUAAAGAACUAUGAACAAAUCCAUUAAGUAUUCAAGAUUUAAGCAUUUAGAUAGUAAAUAGAGCAAACAGGGUGACAGAUAUCAGCCACUUGGUGUGUCUAGAGCAGUACUAAUUGACAGCUUGAGCUUGGUCCAGAAUGAUGAGAAAGCUCUUAUUCUUCCAUCAAGAAAGCUUUGUUUCAUUUCUCUUUUCACCUGGGUCACUGGCCUGAGGCACAAGGAAGAGAUCGAGAAAAGUCAACCACUCCUUGCUUGAUGAUGCAAAUUGCAUCAAGACCCUUUGCCUUCAAAAAUUCACAUGCUGAAGAUGGCAUUAGCUUCCGAACUAAUAUUUCUGACGCUUCCUCUGAGAUAGUUUUUGAGACCAAAGAAAUAUUAUAGGCUGACAACUGAGAUUUUGGCUGAAACAUUGAUGGCUAAUAUGAAGUCUAUUGUACCUGUCCUUACGUGAUGCCAACUAUUUCCCUUCACAUGGAAAGUAGAAGUAAUAUGGCAGGGUAGAAAGAAACUCAGAUAAGGAGUCAGAAGAUAGAGGCUUCCAGAUUAGAGCCACUGGCUAUUAACUGCUCAAAUUUGGGCUACUCCCCUAACGACUGAGAAACUAAAAGUACUUGAAUACUGAGAAUGGUAGAUGGCAUGGCUUGGAUCUCUGUCCCUGCCCAAAUCUCAUGUCAAACUGUAAUCUCCAAUAUUGGAGGUAGGGCCUGGUGGGAGGUCAUUGGAUCAUGGAGGCAGAUUUCUCAUUAAUGGUUUAACAGCAUCCCCUUGGCACUGCCCUUGUGCUCGUGAAUGAGUUCUCAUGACAUCUGGUCUUUUAAAAGCGUGUAACACCUCCCCACUCCUUGCUCCUGCUCCUGCCAUGUGAGAUGACUCGCUCACAAUGAUUGGAAGCUUCCUGCGGCCUCCCUAGAAGCAGAAGCCAUUACGCUUCCUUUGCAGCCUGCAGAUCCAUGAGCCAACUAAACCUUUUUCUUGAUAAAUUACUCAGUUUCAGGUAUUUCUUUACAGCAGAGUGAGAAUGCACUAAUAAUACAACAGAGUUGCUGUAAAAAAUGAAAUAAAACCAUAAAUGUGAAAGUGCCCUGAAAACUCUUAAUUCAUA